AAUCCUCUCCGUCUAAAGAGAGCCUUUUUUGGCCCGUAAAAACAGAAGGUCAUGGUUUCAAAUUUCCAAAGGGUGCGAUUCCAAGGAACCUUAUUAUGGGUUUCCGAUGAUCAGCAAGGGGAGGUUCUUUAGAAUUUCGCUACAAGCAGACAGAUGGAGACAAUCUCUUCUAUUUUUGCGUUGCAUGGAAAAAGAAAGAAGGGAAGGCGUUUCGGGGCAGCACAUUAAAAGAAAAUCGAGAGUUAUUUAUGGGGGGAGCUUUUUUUUCAUUCGAUUUUGGGAUUCGUCGGGCUUUAGGAUUUCUACGUAAGGGAAAUAAAAAGAAGAAAGCCUAGGAUUAAAGGGGAUUUCAUCCUCUUUGAUUGGAGCAAAUAACAAGAAAGGUGUUCUUUGAGGGUUUCUAUGUAAGAAGAGUGUUGUAAAGAGGGCUAGUUAAAAGGGAG
rnacentral:lncRNA from 1 species